UACGUAGGGAGCAAGCGUUGUCCGGAAUCAUUGGGCGUAAAGCGCGCGUAGGUGGCUUCGUAAGUCCGUUGUGAAAGUCAAAGGCUCAACCUUUGAAAGCCGAUGGAUACUGUGGAGCUAGAGUACGGAAGAGGCGAGUGGAAUUCCUGGUGUAGCGGUAGAAUGCGCAGAUAUCAGGAGGAACACCAAUAGCGAAGGCAGCUCGCUGGGACGUUACUGACACUGAGGCGCGAAAGCGUGGGGAGCAAACAGG
rnacentral:rRNA from 1 species